CGGAGGCGCCGCCAGCUCCGCGCUCCGCCACUGCCCAGGCCGGCGGGCGGCACUCGGACCCGCCGCCCUCGGUCCCUCGCGAGGCCACGGAGGCCAACACGCCUCGCACGGGGGGACAGCGCGGGGGCAGCCGUCCAAACACCAGGCGUCCUCGGCUGGUCGUCCCAGGGCGCCCGCACCUCUCCGCCCGCGCUCUCCUGCCGCCGCGCCCCCAAGCCCCCAAACUCCGAGGCGCUGCGGCGGAGGGGCCGGGCUGAGCGCAGGCAGGGUGGCCCGGGCCCAGGAGCCUGACGGCCUGAGUGCGGAUUUCUCAUCUGAGUAUCUGGGAAUCGAGAAUGAAUUGGAAGGAAACCGAGGCGCUGCCCUGGCCAGGUUGCUGCCCCGCACCCUUCCGGAGCACCGAAGUCCUGCCCGGCAACGGGACUUGGAGCUGCCGCAGAGUCAGCCUGAGCCCGAGGCAGGGGUCGCGCCCGCGAUGCGGGGUCUCUGCGCCGCCCCGCGAGGCUCCUGGCCUUGCCCUCCCUGCCCUUUGUUGUGUAAUAAGACCUGUGGCGGCUCCACUGAGACCCACACGUGCAACUCCGCGCCUCCGCGUUAAAGGAGGUGAAACGCAGCAGCCCUGAGAAACCCCGAGACCCCGGUGUCCUAGCAGAGGCGCCCCGGAUGGGGAGGGGCGCGGGGCCGGCGCCACCCCAGAGGAAAAGCCCAGCGGAGCCGGGUUGGGCAGGAGCUGGCGGCGGCGGUGCGCUGGGCCUUCUGCCUUGGAUCCUCCGCGGUCGGCACCGCUUCCCUGCUCAGAUUCGAACCCAGAUUCGGCUCCCAAGGCUCCCACGGCUCCAGGGUGCCCAGUCUUGCAGCCAGCUCGCCGCCCGAGCCCCGGAUGGAGGAAGCGCUCACUGGCCGCUACCUCUGCUGUUUCUGGCACCAGAGAUUGAGACUGUGAACCUGAACUCCCUUGAUCUCCUCCCGUUGGGCCCAGGAGGGAGCCGAAUCCAGGCCCAACCGGGCUCACUGAGAAGAACCUUUAAAAAUCCGCCAACGAAUGCUGUUGCCUGGAUGCGCUGCCUAUGACCUUCAGCCGUGUGUUCACGCGCGCCCGCAGCCGUGGAGUGGCGGUCCCUCCUGCCGCCCGCAACCCCGGGGCCGCCGGUCUGCGCACACCGGGAGCAACUUCGUUACCCACAGCGCCCGCGUCCUGCGGCUCGCGCGGAACUGCGCGCGGGAAGGUGGCAGAGCGACGCUCCAGAACGCUGCUUGCGUAGACGCUGCCGCUGCCUUCAGAUCCCAAUUCGGCCGCGCGCGGGCGGGGCCCUGGCAGCAACGAAAAUGGCGAGCCUCGUAGCCUUCCGGGCCCGGCGGCCACAUUCCGGGAGUCGCCAGGUGGGAGCCCGCCUUCCGUGUCCCCAAACGCCCAGAGCCCGGGACACGGGCCGGCGGCCGGGUCACCAAGCCAGUUCCCGGAAUCGGCUCGCGCCGGAAUCCAGACUCGGCUUGCAAAGCCCGCUCCUGCCGUCUCUCCGCAGCGCGCCCUGCCCCCCACUGCCGGCCCUCUUAGCUUCAAAACCAAAUUUUGCCUUUCAUCCUGAGAGAUUAAUACCCCGCAGGUGAAACCGUGGAGACGGAGCUGCGGUGGGUUUCUUUUCCACGCCUCAGUUUCCUCGUCUGUGAAAUGGGACCAGGCGCGCCUGUGCUUCUCCGGGAGUUUAUUGCAGGGCUGGCUGGAGAGAAUGGCUGGGUGGAAGCUGCCAGGAGGAGGCCCAAGGCCGCCCACCCCGUGGGCCUCGUUUGCUGAGCGGGGGUCAGAGGCGUGCGGGACAGGGCGCGCCCCACGGCGGCUCUGGAGGCGGCCCGGCCCGUCCCUGUCUCCUCCCCUCGCUCCCCCUCCCCCGGCCUUCCCGGAACUCUCCUCGCCCGCUGGGUGGAGGAGGGGCGAGGGCCGACUCCGCCGCCCCUGGGGUCUCCCUCCUCCCACCCCCACCGCAGAGUCUGGCCCGCCCUGGGCUUUCCUCUCAGGUCCCUUUGGGUCUCCAGAAGCCCGGAGGUUUCGCGCAGACUCGAACCUGAGAUGACACCACCCAGCACCCCAAAUCCUGCAGAGUGUGGAGGGGAUCUGGGGAGAAGGCAGGGGCUGCCCGGGCGCUCUGGCUGCUGGGGGUGGGGGACAGGGCCUGCCGGGGAAGCGGGUCGGGGGAGGACUGGAGACCCAGGCUCCCCUAGGUACAACGAACCUCGCGGGAGGGAAUACGCCAUCCCCGUACCCACUUCCGAGGACGUAGGUCUUUUGGCACCGGCGGCAGCCGCGUUCCCACACAUCUGGGCGGGGCCCCGCAGCAUGGCCUGGGGAGCUGAGGCUUCGGGAUCCGGCACAAACUACCAUUCUAGGUGUAGACGGAGGAGGUGGGGUGUGGGAAGCAGGGGGCCAUGGUCUGAGCAGACCUUCUCACCUCUGGGCCUCCCACCUCCUGGGGCAGGACUUACGGGGAAGGACCCGAGGGGAGUGGGGUGUCCAUAGGGACACCCAAGGGUCUAUCCCUGCGAGCUUUGCUUUCUACUAAACCAAUAAUCGCAGUGGUGGUGGCAGUCGAGACACGGCUCAAAGAGCCGGCAAGAAUAGAGCAGAGACCAGGAUCGCCCCAGGCAGGGAAAAAAUGACCAGUUCUGUAGAGUGACCCGAAGGUGAUGGAAUCACUCGGGCGUCCUCCUGGGAAAGAGCUGCCUGCUCCCCCGCCGCCGCCAGUACACCGGCGCCCAUGCCCCGGGGGCUGGAGAGAGCAGCCAGGCACAGGUAACUCAAGAACUCCAGUCCCCUCACGGGUGCCGUGCUGUGGGGCGCCCUCACCCCCACACUUUGGGUCCCUGGGCCUCCUCAUCAAAGCAGGGGCCUGAGUGGCAGGAACACCCCUGUGUGCAGAAUAGUGCCCCCUGCAGCCCCCACAGGUCACCUCUUUGAGGACCUAGGUGGGGCCUGCCCUGGGGACUGGGGUGAAGAGGGCAGGUCCAGCCUUCAGCAGCCCCUCCCCCAUGACUUCAGUGGAAUUACAAGGGGAACACCCAGGGCAGCUCCCGUAGGCUGCACAAGGGAAGAGGGGAGGGCUUCUACUGAGGUGAAACAGUGACCCACCCCUCCCACACCGUCAGCCUCCCUCCCCUCUCCACCCUUCAGUGCUGGGACCCCAGGGCCCAUAGACAGCUGGGGGAGUGGGGAGACAGGAGGAACUCAAGCUCAGCUUCUGCCUCCUGUCUCCUGGGACCCUCGGGCAGCCCCUCCAGCUUCCUGGGAGUCCAAUUUCCCAAGGUAGAACGGUGGCGGCAGAGCCUGGCCCUGUGGUGGGGCAGCUGCACCCCGAUGAGUGGCUUGCAGUUCCUGGAGCCCUGCAGGUUGUUGGAGAGGCAGGGAGCCCUUCUCCCUCCUGCCUGCCCUCUUGCACUUCCUCUCCCAGAACCCAGCACUACUCCCAGAGGCUCUGAGCUGGAGCCCUAGAAGGUAACCACCUCCUGGCUGGACACAGGGCAAGUUGGGGCCAGGCGUGAGGACAGGUGCCCCAGGAGCCACCUGCUCCACUCAUCCACAAAGGCCUUAACUGGCUCAGGGGCCCCUAGCUCCCAGUCAAGCCCUGCCCUCCUGACCUUGUCCUGCCCUGGUGCUGCCAGUCGGGUGGAGAUGUCUAGGGGCCAGCUGGUCUCCUGGCAACUGAAGUCCGCGCUUCCCUUCCGUUCACUCAUUCCUUCCUUUCCUCAUGCAGGAGGCGCUGCAAGGCUCCGUGCUCCUGGAGCUUCGAGUCUAUGGUAUGAGUUAAACAGAAGGGUAUCUCCUCCAUCAGAUCUACAGGAGGGUGUCUGCUCCAUCAGACCUGGAGCUUCCAAGGCAUUUUACCCGAAGCUCCAGCACCUGGCCCAAGGCUGGGCUGUGCUGUGUCCUCAGUGAAAGAAUGGAUGAGUCACAGCUGAAUGACUGAAGAGCUGAACCAAUGGGAAAACUGAUGCUCAGAGGCUUGAGCAACCUAGGCCAGGACCUGUCCUUAGAGGCAGAAGCAGGACUCAGAGGAAGAGCACCCUGACCACAAAGCCCCAGGGUCCAGAAAGACUCAGCCACUGGAGUCUGUAUUUCCUGAGUCGCCUCUCACUGCUGGAGCUGUUUAUCAUCGCUCCAACUUUCACUAAAAAGGAAAAACUAUCACUUAAACAAAGCCAUUGAAACCCCAGCAUCAUGUGUGGAUUUUUUAACAUAAAUAAAUCAUACAAACUAA
rnacentral:lncRNA from 1 species